AUUUAUUAGCAUGAUUUCUUUUUAAUAUGUUGUGUACAGACUUAAUUACUUCUCUGUCUACUUUUCUUACUCCAUGUAGGUUUCCCAGAGACGAUGGGUUGAGGAGGAAUUGGAAGUUUGUUGGCUUAGACCUGGUGUCAUUCCAUCAGUGUUAAACUUCCCGGCUCAUCUUGGAAGAGUACGUGCCAGAAAGACCACGACCAAGCAGCCUUGAGAUCUUAGGCAGCGUCUCCCUGAGACCAAAGAACUACAGACUCUUCACAACCUGCUCAAACUCUUGGUACAGGACCUCACCACACGGGUCAAGAAGGUUUCCAUCUCAUUUCUACUCUGAAGCUCACCUUCUCCUGCUCAAACUGCUGAUAAAUGUUUCUGCUGCUCUAAAGUCUGGUCUCCAGAACUUCCUAAAAACUCUC
ensembl:lncRNA